CUGAGUACUUCGUUAUCAUGAUAAAUGUCUGUCUGCAUUAUAAAGACUCCUACUCACAGCCUGGUUUGUGUUUCUGACGGGUAAGGUUUACCCUGGGGUGGCAGACAAACAGUACUGUCUGUUCAGUGUGCCAUGCAAGCAUGGAAUUUCUAAUUUAAAUUUCUGGAAAUUAUGGUCUGGAUUUUGCUCAUAGCCUGUCUAUGGUAGAGUCUGGAGUGAACAGAAAUCUAGAGAUUGGCUCUGAAGGUAAGGGACUCUCUUUCAUGCCUGAAUCUGAUGGGGAUGAGGAACUGGGCCCAGGUGCUAACAGGGAGUGAGCAAGGAGGGCCCUGGGUUUUCCUGCUGGGAGAGUCUGACUAACCACCACCGGGAUUCUGUCAUGAGCAAGGGCUCACAAGCCUAGCCAUGUGGGCUGAGGAGAGGCGCCUUUGGCUCAGGACUGGCUCUCACCUUCCAGGUAAAGUGAACCCAGGUUACCUGCCUGGAUGCUAAGGAAAUAGUCUCUGCAGCCAGAGUUGGUUUUCCGGGAAUGACGGGCUGCAGAGGUUGGCAGCAGAAGUGUCACUUGCAAGCACUCAACCAAGGGGUACACGUCAAGACCCAGAUUCCACUACUAAUACGACCUGACCCAGGUCUUGACAGAAGGAUAUGGAGGCAAUCCUGGGGCUGAGGGAAGGUACGUGCCCCCCGCCCUCUGGCAUCUGGUCUUGCUGUGAUAAAGGCUCCUGAGGAGCAGAACGUGUCCAGGGCCAGGAGGUAUACAGAUUCCCUACCAGCUGCCAGGCCCCACACCUCUGUUCGCAGAGCCAGAUGUGAAAGUCCCAGGGGAUGGCAGAUGCUGAAAUUACAAGGCACUUUUUCUGGGAGAAGAGAGGUAACUGAGAGGAGGAAGAGGCAUUUAUCUUGAAGACUUGCAAGAACUAUGGGUAUUUGGGGACCCCACCCCCUUGCUCUCCCAGGGGAGAUGGGUGUGGGAGGAAACCCUCUUCUCUCACCCCUUCCUGCCAAAUUAUGCAGCUAGUCAAGUUUUCCCCUGCAAGAUCGUAUACUUUUUUUUUUUAAAGAGAAUUAACUUCAUGUCCAAAUCUUUCCGUAUUACUAGCUUUUAGCAAGAAACCCUCAAGUUUAGGAGAAUUGGGGGUGGGUACCAGCAGUCAACUCCCAUGAACGUUACAAAAAUCUGAUUAAACGUUUCUAUUAGAAACAUGGGGUCAUUACCAGUCUCCUUUUGAUACCCUCAUCAUUUCCAGGACCCACUUAGAACAAUCUAGUGUAUCUCCCCUUGUCCCUGGUCCCCUUCGCUGCUCAGUCUCAGGAAACACAGUGCCCUGCGUCCAAAGGCUAGGUGAUCUUAAGGAUGUAAGAACCAGACCUGGACUCGGGAGAGGGCACCUGGGUGAAGUGAGGGCCCGAGCUCUCGUGGCUCUCAGACCCUUGCUUAUCUUACUCCUUUUAACUGGGAUGGCCUUUGGCUUGUCACCAGAUGUUUGGGGUGCUCUAAGGGUGAGAAAGCACUGGGAAACAAAUCAUCACCUUAGUAACUGGUAUGGUAUUUCAGGAUCUCUGAAUUUCUUCCUUUGCAUAAUAUGUCCAUAGAGAAAAAUCCAUUAAUAAAAACUUUAAAAAUUAAUUUUGAUGUGCCUCUUAACUGUCUUUAAGCUUUGAGUAUCUUUCUCUCAAGAUGGUCACUGUAGGAGAGUGAUUAAAAACACUCUAGUCAGACAGAAUAAAGUAUUUUCUGUACCAUCAAUUAUUAAAUUUCUCAACA